AGAGUUUGAUCCUGGCUCAGAGCGAACGCUGGCGGCAGGCUUAACACAUGCAAGUCGAGCGGGCCCUUCGGGGUCAGCGGCGGACGGGUGAGUAACGCGUGGGAACGUGCCUUCUGGUUCGGAAUAACCCUGGGAAACUAGGGCUAAUACCGGAUACGCCCUUUUGGGGAAAGGUUUACUGCCGGAAGAUCGGCCCGCGUCUGAUUAGCUAGUUGGUGGGGUAACGGCCUACCAAGGCGACGAUCAGUAGCUGGUCUGAGAGGAU
rnacentral:rRNA from 1 species